AGGGUUUGAUCCUGGCUCAGGACGAACGCUGGCGGCGUGCCUAACACAUGCAAGUCGAACGGAACGCCCUUGAAAGAGUUUUCGGACAAUGGAUAGGGAGGUUUAGUGGCGGACGGGUGAGUAACGCGUGAGCAAUCUGCCUUUCAGAGGGGGACAACAGUUGGAAACGACUGCUAAUACCGCAUAACGUACCGGUGCGGCAUCGCACUGAUACCAAAGAUUAUAUCGCUGAGAGAUGAGCUCGCGUCCAAUUAGCUAGAUGGUGAGGUAACGGCUCACCAUGGCGACGAUUGGUAGCCGGACUGAGAGGUUGAACGGCCACAUUGGGACUGAGACACGGCCCAG
rnacentral:rRNA from 1 species